AUUGAACGCUGGCGGCAGGCCUAACACAUGCAAGUCGAGCGGAUGAAGGGAGCUUGCUCCUGGAUUCAGCGGCGGACGGGUGAGUAAUGCCUAGGAAUCUGCCUGGUAGUGGGGGAUAACGUCCGGAAACGGGCGCUAAUACCGCAUACUACCUGGUGGAGAAAUUGGGGGAUCUUCGGACCUCACGCUAUCAGAUGAGCCUAGGUCGGCUUAGCUAGUUGGUGGGGUAAAGGCCUACCAAGGGGACGAUCCGUAACUGGUCUGAGAGGAUGAUCAGUCACACUGGAACUGAGACACGGUCCAGCCUCCGACGGGAGGCAGCAGUGGGGAAUAUUGGACAAUGGGCGAAAGCCUGAUCCAGCCAUGCCGCGUGUGUGAAGAAGGUCUUCGGAUUGUAAAGCACUUCAAGUUGGGAGGAAGGGCAGUAAGUUCAUACCUUGCUGUUUUGACGUUACCAACAGAAUAAGCACCGGCUAACUUCGUG
rnacentral:rRNA from 1 species